GGGUUGUGAGGUUAAGCGACUAAGCGUACACGGUGGAUGCCCUGGCAGUCAGAGGCGAUGAAGGACGUGCUAAUCUGCGAUAAGCGUCGGUAAGGUGAUAUGAACCGUUAUAACCGGCGAUUUCCGAAUGGGGAAACCCAGUGUGUUUCGACACACUAUCAUUAACUGAAUCCAUAGGUUAAUGAGGCGAACCGGGGGAACUGAAACAUCUAAGUACCCCGAGGAAAAGAAAUCAACCGAGAUUCCCCCAGUAGCGGCGAGCGAACGGGGAGCAGCCCAGAGCCUGAAUCAGUGUGUGUGUUAGUGGAAGCGUCUGGAAAGGCGCGCGAUACAGGGUGACAGCCCCGUACACAAAAAUGCACAUGCUGUGAGCUCGAUGAGUAGGGCGGGACACGUGGUAUCCUGUCUGAAUAUGGGGGGACCAUCCUCCAAGGCUAAAUACUCCUGACUGACCGAUAGUGAACCAGUACCGUGAGGGAAAGGCGAAAAGAACCCCGGCGAGGGGAGUGAAAAAGAACCUGAAACCGUGUACGUACAAGCAGUGGGAGCCUCUUUUAUGGGGUGACUGCGUACCUUUUGUAUAAUGGGUCAGCGACUUAUAUUCUGUAGCAAGGUUAACCGAAUAGGGGAGCCGAAGGGAAACCGAGUCUUAACUGGGCGUUAAGUUGCAGGGUAUAGACCCGAAACCCGGUGAUCUAGCCAUGGGCAGGUUGAAGGUUGGGUAACACUAACUGGAGGACCGAACCGACUAAUGUUGAAAAAUUAGCGGAUGACUUGUGGCUGGGGGUGAAAGGCCAAUCAAACCGGGAGAUAGCUGGUUCUCCCCGAAAGCUAUUUAGGUAGCGCCUCGUGAAUUCAUCUCCGGGGGUAGAGCACUGUUUCGGCAAGGGGGUCAUCCCGACUUACCAACCCGAUGCAAACUGCGAAUACCGGAGAAUGUUAUCACGGGAGACACACGGCGGGUGCUAACGUCCGUCGUGAAGAGGGAAACAACCCAGACCGCCAGCUAAGGUCCCAAAGUCAUGGUUAAGUGGGAAACGAUGUGGGAAGGCCCAGACAGCCAGGAUGUUGGCUUAGAAGCAGCCAUCAUUUAAAGAAAGCGUAAUAGCUCACUGGUCGAGUCGGCCUGCGCGGAAGAUGUAACGGGGCUAAACCAUGCACCGAAGCUGCGGCAGCGACGCUUAUGCGUUGUUGGGUAGGGGAGCGUUCUGUAAGCCUGCGAAGGUGUGCUGUGAGGCAUGCUGGAGGUAUCAGAAGUGCGAAUGCUGACAUAAGUAACGAUAAAGCGGGUGAAAAGCCCGCUCGCCGGAAGACCAAGGGUUCCUGUCCAACGUUAAUCGGGGCAGGGUGAGUCGACCCCUAAGGCGAGGCCGAAAGGCGUAGUCGAUGGGAAACAGGUUAAUAUUCCUGUACUUGGUGUUACUGCGAAGGGGGGACGGAGAAGGCUAUGUUGGCCGGGCGACGGUUGUCCCGGUUUAAGCGUGUAGGCUGGUUUUCCAGGCAAAUCCGGAAAAUCAAGGCUGAGGCGUGAUGACGAGGCACUACGGUGCUGAAGCAACAAAUGCCCUGCUUCCAGGAAAAGCCUCUAAGCAUCAGGUAACAUCAAAUCGUACCCCAAACCGACACAGGUGGUCAGGUAGAGAAUACCAAGGCGCUUGAGAGAACUCGGGUGAAGGAACUAGGCAAAAUGGUGCCGUAACUUCGGGAGAAGGCACGCUGAUAUGUAGGUGAAGCGACUUGCUCGUGGAGCUGAAAUCAGUCGAAGAUACCAGCUGGCUGCAACUGUUUAUUAAAAACACAGCACUGUGCAAACACGAAAGUGGACGUAUACGGUGUGACGCCUGCCCGGUGCCGGAAGGUUAAUUGAUGGGGUCAGCGCAAGCGAAGCUCUUGAUCGAAGCCCCGGUAAACGGCGGCCGUAACUAUAACGGUCCUAAGGUAGCGAAAUUCCUUGUCGGGUAAGUUCCGACCUGCACGAAUGGCGUAAUGAUGGCCAGGCUGUCUCCACCCGAGACUCAGUGAAAUUGAACUCGCUGUGAAGAUGCAGUGUACCCGCGGCAAGACGGAAAGACCCCGUGAACCUUUACUAUAGCUUGACACUGAACAUUGAGCCUUGAUGUGUAGGAUAGGUGGGAGGCUUUGAAGUGUGGACGCCAGUCUGCAUGGAGCCGACCUUGAAAUACCACCCUUUAAUGUUUGAUGUUCUAACGUUGACCCGUAAUCCGGGUUGCGGACAGUGUCUGGUGGGUAGUUUGACUGGGGCGGUCUCCUCCUAAAGAGUAACGGAGGAGCACGAAGGUUGGCUAAUCCUGGUCGGACAUCAGGAGGUUAGUGCAAUGGCAUAAGCCAGCUUGACUGCGAGCGUGACGGCGCGAGCAGGUGCGAAAGCAGGUCAUAGUGAUCCGGUGGUUCUGAAUGGAAGGGCCAUCGCUCAACGGAUAAAAGGUACUCCGGGGAUAACAGGCUGAUACCGCCCAAGAGUUCAUAUCGACGGCGGUGUUUGGCACCUCGAUGUCGGCUCAUCACAUCCUGGGGCUGAAGUAGGUCCCAAGGGUAUGGCUGUUCGCCAUUUAAAGUGGUACGCGAGCUGGGUUUAGAACGUCGUGAGACAGUUCGGUCCCUAUCUGCCGUGGGCGCUGGAGAACUGAGGGGGGCUGCUCCUAGUACGAGAGGACCGGAGUGGACGCAUCACUGGUGUUCGGGUUGUCAUGCCAAUGGCACUGCCCGGUAGCUAAAUGCGGAAGAGAUAAGUGCUGAAAGCAUCUAAGCACGAAACUUGCCCCGAGAUGAGUUCUCCCUGACUCCUUGAGAGUCCUGAAGGAACGUUGAAGACGACGACGUUGAUAGGCCGGGUGUGUAAGCGCAGCGAUGCGUUGAGCUAACCGGUACUAAUGAACCGUGAGGCUUAACCUUACAACGCCGAAG
rnacentral:rRNA from 1 species